rnacentral:rRNA from 1 species
GGGGGGUACAGAGGGCUGCUACCACGCAAGUGGAUGCCAAUCCCAAAAACCUCUCUCAGUUCGGAUUGAAGUCUGCAACCCGACUUCAUGAAGCUGGAUUCGCUAGUAAUCGCGCAUCAGCCACGGCGCGGUGAAUACGUUCCCGGGCCUUGUACACACCGCCCGUCAAGCCAUGGGAGCCGGGGGUACCUGAAGUGCGUAACCGCAAGGAGCGCCCUAGGGUAAAACUGGUGACUGGGGCUAAGUCGUAACAAGGUAGCCGUACCGGAAGGUGCGGCUGGAACACCUCCUUUCUGGAG